UAAAAUAGAAUCAUUCAGAUAAGUAGUAAAAAGAAACUUUCAGAGAGGUCGUGGUUGUUGAAAACGGCUAGUGGAAUUUUAUGAAAUUGGGCUGAAGUGUAAAAUGAAUUUGAAGGAAUAAAAAUUCGGUAGGCACACCUUAUAGUGCAGUCCUUGUUAGGGGAUUAGAGUGGAAAGAAAAUUUUCUUUCAAGUGAGGUGGCACCGCGUUCAUCGUCCUCACA
rnacentral:ncRNA from 1 species